rnacentral:rRNA from 1 species
GGUUGAUCCUGCCAGUAGUCAUAUGCUUGUCUCAAAGAUUAAGCCAUGCAUGUCUAAGUAUAAGCAAUUUAUACAGUGAAACUGCGAAUGGCUCAUUAAAUCAGUUAUAGUUUAUUUGAUAGUACCUUUACUACUUGGAUACCCGUGGUAAUUCUAGAGCUAAUACAUGCUAAAAACCCCGACCGUUUGGCAGGGGUGUAUUUAUUAGAUAAAAAAUCAAUGCCCCCCGUGGGCUCUUUGAUGAUUCAUAAUAACUUUUCGAAUCGCAUGGCUUCUUGCCGGCGAUGGUUCAU